GGAAUGUAAAUUGAUACAGCCACUAUGGAGAACAGUAUGGAGGUUCCUUAAAAAACUAAAAAUAGAACUACCAUACAACCCAGCAAUCCCACUAUUGGGCAUAUACCCUGAGAAAACCAUAAUUCAAAAAGA